AAGACUAUACUUUCAGGGAUCAUUUCUAUAGUAUGUUACUAGAAAAGUUUGUCUGAUUGUGUAGAGCACCCGAAGAGGAGUCAGAGCAUCCUCUCCUGAGCGUGAAGCCGGCUCUAGGUGUCGCUUCUGCGACUGCCUUUUGCCAUUGAUGAUCAUUCUUUCCUUCCUUUGGAAGGGGUAGAGGGAGAGAAUGCAGUCUGAGUGGU